rnacentral:rRNA from 1 species
UUAGAUAAGUNUGAAGUUAAAGGCUGUGGCUUAACCAUAGUACGCUUUGGAAACUGUUUAACUUGAGUGCAGAAGGGGAGAGUGGAAUUCCAUGUGUAGCGGUGAAAUGCGUAGAUAUAUGGAGGAACACCGGUGGCGAAAGCGGCUCUCUGNUCUGUAACUGACGCUGAGGCUCGAAAGCGUGGGGAGCGAACAGGAUUAGAUACCCUGGUAGUNCACGCCGUAAACGAUGAGUGCUAGGUGUUAGGCCCUUUCCGGGGCUUAGUGCCGCAGCUAACGCAUUAAGCACUCCGCCUGGGGAGUACGACCGCAAGGUUGAAACUCAAAGGAAUUGACGGGGGCCCGCACAAGCGGUGGGGCAUGUGGUUUAAUUCGAAGCAACGCGAAGAACCUUACCAGGUCUUGACAUCCCGAUGCCCGCUCUAGAGAUAGAGUUUUACUUCGGUACAUCGGUGACAGGUGGUGCAUGGUUGUCGUCAGCUCGUGUCGUGAGAUGUUGGGUUAAGUCCCGCAACGAGCGCAACCCUUAUUGUUAGUUGCCAUCAUUCAGUUGGGCACUCUAGCGAGACUGCCGGUAAUAAACCGGAGGAAGGUGGGGAUGACGUCAAAUCAUCAUGCCCCUUAUGACCUGGGCUACACACGUGCUACAAUGGCUGGUACAACGAGUCGCAAGUCGGUGACGGCAAGCUAAUCUCUUAAAGCCAGUCUCAGUUCGGAUUGUAGGCUGCAACUCGCCUACAUGAAGUCGGAAUCGCUAGUAAUCGCGGAUCAGCACGCCGCGGUGAAUACGUUCCCGGGCCUUGUACACACCGCCCGUCACACCACGAGAGUUUGUAACACCCGAAGUCGGUGAGGUANCCUUUUAGGAGCCA